rnacentral:rRNA from 1 species
CCUACGGGUGGCAGCAGUGAGGAAUAUUGGUCAAUGGACGAGAGUCUGAACCAGCCAAGUAGCGUGAAGGUUGACUGCCCUAUGGGUUGUAAACUUCUUUUAUAUGGGAAUAAAAUGUUCCACGUGUGGGAUUUUGUAUGUACCAUAUGAAUAAGGAUCGGCUAACUCCGUGCCAGCAGCCGCGGUAAUACGGAGGAUCCGAGCGUUAUCCGGAUUUAUUGGGUUUAAAGGGAGCGUAGGUGGAUUGUUAAGUCAGUUGUGAAAGUUUGCGGCUCAACCGUAAAAUUGCAGUUGAAACUGGCAGUCUUGAGUACAGUAGAGGUGGGCGGAAUUCGUGGUGUAGCGGUGAAAUGCUUAGAUAUCACGAAGAACUCCGAUUGCGAAGGCAGUUCACUGGACUGCAACUGACACUGAGGCUCGAAAGUGUGGGUAUCAAACAGGAUUAGAUACCCGUGUAGUC